rnacentral:lncRNA from 1 species
CUUGAGAAUUAAAAAGGGAAAUGUGUUUCCCAAUGAAAUUGGUUGCUCGUUUACAAAAAUGUUUCAGCUGUUUUCAGACAUUGUUUACACCCAAAUUUCUUGGAAAGAAACUAUCACUAGACCAUUAAGAGAAAAAAAGAUAACUCUAUCGUUAAGGAAACAUUUUUCGCAUCGAAGUAUUCCUUUGAGUUCAAUCUUGCAGUGCAACUUCCCUUGAUGGUGACAGUAUUAAUGAGACCCUUGAGAAUAGAAAGAAGAAAUAUGUUAAUUGGAAACACAGGUGCAGAACAUUUCAUCAUUGAGAUUCUUUUUGCUUGAACCUUUUAGACUAACUAAUAAGAUUAAUGAGACCUUUCAGAAUAGAAAGAAUAAGGAUGCUAAUUGAAUUUACAUCUUGAUUUGAGAAGUUACCUGAGGUUACUGUCAUGUGCAGAACAAGUAAAAAAUGGCGUUCCAAGCUUCACUUCAAUAUGCGGAAACCCUGUUGAAACAUACACGUGAUUAGAAGAAAAGAAGAACAGGCUCUAAGAAAUUGAGAAACAACAGGCUCUAAGAAAAAAACAACUCUUUUAUGUCAUUGGGAAACAAAAUAAAAAAAGGACUUACAUGUCUCUGCAGGAAAGAAGUUACUAAUGGGAGCUGAAUUUCAUUGUGCUUGCAAGUUACAAUCUCGAAAAGGAAUUUUUGACGUUGAGCAUGUAAAUCCUCCUACAGUAUUUUAUAAAAAGUUGUUGUUUUGUUCCUGAUAUGUUACAAUUAAUGACCAAAAAAGGAAAGAUAUGACUAUUACUUACAUUAGAGAAACCUUCCAA